AGUGAACGCUGGCGGUAGGCCUAACACAUGCAAGUCGAACGGCAGCACAGUAAGAGCUUGCUCUUACGGGUGGCGAGUGGCGGACGUGUGAGGAAUACAUCGGAAUCUACUUUUUCGUGGGGGAUCACGUAGGGAAACUUACGCUAAUACCGCAUACGACCUACGGGUGAAAGCAGGGGAUCUUCGGACCUUGCGCGAUUGAAUGAGCCGAUGUCGGAUUAGCUAGUUGGGGGGGUAAAGGCCCACCAAGGCGACGAUCCGUAGCUGGUCUGAGAGGAGGAUCAGCCACACUGGAACUGAGACACGGUCCAGACUCCUGCGGGAGGCAGCAGUGGGGAAUAUUGGACAAUGGGCGCAAGCCUGAUCCAGCCAUACGGCGUGGGUGAAGAAGGCCUUCGGGUUGUAAAGCCCUUUUGUUGGGAAAGAAAAGCAGCAGGUUAAUACCCCGCUGUUCUGACGGUACCCAAAGAAGAAGCACCGGCUAACUUCGUG
rnacentral:rRNA from 1 species